UUCACACGUUACAAAACCAUAUUUAAUAGGAUAAUGACUAUAUGCUAUAUAGAGAAUGAAGUUACCUUUAACUGUCUAGAAAACUCAAGGAAAGGCAAUCAGAUUGUUUGAAGAUGCUCUUCCCUCCGUUUAGAAAAGAACUAAGAACAGAUGCUUCCAGAGUAGUAAAAUAAGAUUUUCCAAAUUGACCUUUCAUGAUUUCAUGAAUACACCCAUGUAGUUUUUCCUUGGCAACCAUGUGGAAGUUGCUUCUUGUUGCCUUUUUUCAGGUUUGUUUUUUUUCAAUUUCCCACAGAAGUCUACAGUUCUAGAGUUUUUCUAGUGGUCUCCCACCCAGUACUAAACUGGCUUAGCUUUCUAAGAUCAGCUGAGGUCUCUUAUCAGUGCAGGCAACUUACCUAUUAAACAUCCGCAGCUGAAGGUUUGCUAUAGAUUUAUCCUUCCAGUGUUGCAUAAUAAUUUUUUGGCUACUUCCCCAUUCGUGGAGUCUCCAUAAAUCUCCAAGGUUAUAUUCACACAUUGUGCUAAGCAAGGGUUUUUGUAACCAUGGUUUAUUGAACAAACCAUAGUGGCUGGGUUCAGACAACUCACUAAGCUUAAACAAUCCCUAUUAUGGCUUGGCAUAAUGUGCAAAUCCAACAGAAAUUUUUGGAAGCAUCCUUGCAGGACUGGUGAAUACUUCAUGCUUAAAAGGAAUCAACAGGCCAAGCUAUGAAAAGCUGGAUUUUGCAAUCUAUAGAUGGGGAAAGUUGAUGAAACGGGUGUAGGGGUAGAGAUAUAUCAAGUACAGAGUCUUAAGCCUUGCCCAUUGGAAAGCCAAUUACAGCUUUUUGGAUGUUCCUGGAUGUUGCCCAUACACUUUCAAGAAUCAAUCAUCUCGAGGGCUAGAAAAAAUCUUUAAAACUGAACUGAACUGGGAAUUGAAAUUUUCUGGAUUGCUGUAUUGUAUAUUCAGUAGUGAAAGGGCAACCUGCAUUGAAUCUCACCAUGCUGGAAUUGCUGCCACAAGUGGCAAUGGGGGAUUUUUCUCCUUGAGAUGACAAAAACUUUGAUCCCAUGGACCCUAACUAGUUUUUUUUCCCCCAUUUAAUUUUGUUCUUAAAAAAAUAAAUAAAAACAACCAUAAUACUG